rnacentral:rRNA from 1 species
GGAUGAGCCCGCGGCCUAUCAACUUGUUGGUGGGGUAAUGGCUCACCAAGGAGAUGACGGGUAGCCGGCCUGAGAGGGCGACCGGCCACACUGGGACUGAGACACGGCUCAGACUCCUACGGGAGGCUGCAGUGGGGAAUCUUGCACAAUGGGCGGAAGCCUGAUGCAGCGACGCCGAGGGAGGGAUGAAGGCCUUCGGGUUGAAAACCUCUUUCACCCUUGAUCAACCGCCCUUUUGUGGGUGUGACGGUAGGAGCACAAGAGGCGCCGGCCAGCUACGUGCCAACAGCCGCGGUAAGACGUACGGCGCUAGCGUUGUCCGGAUUUAUUGGGCGUAAAGAGCUCGUAUGCGGCUUGUGUCGUCCUCCGUGAAAACCUGUGGCUUAACUACAGGCUUGCGGUCGAUACGGGCAGGCUAGAGUGCGGCAGGGGAGACUGGAAUUCCUGGUGUAGCGCUGAAAUGCGCACAUAUCAGGAGGAACUCCGGUGGCUAAUGCGGUUCUCUGGGCCGUUACUGACGCUGAGGAUCGAAAGCGUGGGGAGCGAACAGAAUUAGAUACCCAGCCAGUCCACGCUGUACACGUUGGGCGCUAGUUGUGGAGGGCCUCUCCGGUUCUCCGUGCCGUAGCUAACGCAUUAUCCUCCCCGUCUGGGGAGUACGGUCGCAAGGCUAUCACUCAAAGUGAUUGACGGGAGCCCUGCACAAUCGGCAGAGCAUGCGGAUUAAUUCGAUGCACGUACAGAA